AUGUCUGGUGGCUCCAUGGAUUAUAACAGAGAAUAUGGCGGUCCAAAGGAAAUAGACCCCAAUGGUGUCAUCGAGAGCUACUGGAAUGAGAUUGUUGGUAACUUUGAUGAUAUGAAUUUAAAGAGUCUCUUCUUUGGGGCAUCUAUGCCUCAAAGGUUUUGAGAAACCUUCAGCUAUUCAGCAGAGAGCUAUUAUUCCUUGUAUUAAAGAUCCAAAAGGUAAUUCUAGCACUUGGAAAGUAUAUGGGAACAACUUGUCAUGCCUGCACUGGUGGAACAAAUGUUCAAAAUGAAAUGCAAAAAUUACAGGCUGAAGCACCACAUAUUGUUGUUGGUACACCAGGGAGAGUGCUUGACAUGUUAAAUAGAAGAUAUCUUUCUUCAAAAUGGGUCAAAAUGUUUGUUUUGGAUGAAGCAGAUGAAAUGUUGAGCCAAGGGUUUAAGGACCAAAUCUAUGAGAUUUUCCAAAAAUUGAAUACAAGUAUUCAGGUUGUGUUGCUUUCUGCCACAAUGCCAACUGAAGUGUUAGAAGUGACCAAAAAAUUUAUGAGAGAUCCAGUUUGAAUUCUGGUGAAAAAGGAAGAAUUGACCCUUGAAGGAAUCAGUUUUACACUAAUGUUGAAAGAGAGGAAUAGAAGUUGGAUACACUUUAUAACUUGUACAAGACACUGACCAUUAUGCCGGCUGUUAUUUUCCUCAAUAUAAGGUGCAAGGUGGACUGGCUCAUUGAGAAAAUGAAUGUCAGGGACUUUACAGUUUCUGCUUUGCGUGGCGACAUGGACCAGAAGGAAAGAGAUGUUAUCAUGAGAGAAUUCUGAUCAGGAUCAAGCAGUGUUCUGAUCACUCUGACUUGUUGGAUUGUGAGUUUGAUGUGCAACAAGUGUCUUUGGUUAUAAACUACGGUCUACCUACCAAUCGUGAAAACUAUAUUCACAGGAGUCAAUAUGAAAUUGGUAGAGGAAGUCGAUUUGGGAGGAAAGUUGUGGCUAUAAACUUUGUUACUAAAGAAGACAAGAUGAUUCUCCAUGACAUUGAGACUUUCUACAGUAAUACAGUGGAGGAAAUGCCCAUGAAUGUGGCUGGCCUUAUUUAA